GACAGUUUGGCCGAGUGGUCUAAGGCGCCAGAUUUAGGCUUUGAUCCGAAAGGGCGUGGGUUCAAAUCCCACAGCUGUCA
rfam:Glycine soja cultivar W05 scaffold829_17, whole genome shotgun sequence.